rnacentral:lncRNA from 1 species
CCAAAGUCCUGAGAUCUCAGACAACUCCAUCACUACCUUGCUGGAAAGAGGGUACAAAGAAGAAUAAGACACAUCCAUGUUCUCCAAACCUAAGUGUCAGCCUUGCUGGUAUAUGUGGUAUCAUUCUGGUAUAGGGAGGCAUGACCAUAGAAUCUGAGAUUCAGUUUUUCUUUAAUAGUAAUGUGAAUCAUUUGAUUUCAUACUUCCUAAAAUGAAACCUUUUUUUCCCACUUUCUACUCCUAUCAGGAAUAGCUUCCUUUAUUCAUAGAGCUCUUUAUACUUCUGGCCUCCCUUUCUACUGUAUUAGUCAGGUGGAGUUCUUCAGAGAACCCAAAUUAAUAAGGUGGAUGGAUGGAUGCAUGGAUUAAUGUAAGAGUAUGGAGGGAGUAAGGGAGAUUGUACUCAUUUUAAGGAACUAGCUCACAUGAUAAUGGGAGAUGGCAAGUCUGAAAUUUGUAGGACAGGCCAAUAGUCUAGAAACUCAGGCAAGAUUCACAUGUUAUCACGUUCUUUUCUGAUAAGGCCUCCCAUUAAUUUAAUAAGGCCCACUUUAUGGAGGGUAAUAUGCUUUAUUUAUUUAUUUUUAAUUUUUUAAUUAGUUGUUCAAAACAUUACAUAACCCUUGACAUAUCAUAUUUCAUACAUUUGAUUCAAGUGGGUUAUGAACUCCCAUUUUUACCCUGUAUACAGAUAGCAGAAUCACAUCGGUUAUACAUCCAUGUUUUUACAUACUGCCAUACUAGUGUAUGUUGUAUUCUGCUGCCUUUCCGAUCCUCUACUAUCCCUCCCUCCCCUCCCCUCCCAUCUUCUCUCUCUACCCCAUCUACUGUAAUUCAUUUCUCUCCCUUGUUUUUUUCCCUUUCCCCUCAUUUCUCUUAUAUGUAAUUUUGUAUAACAAUGAGGGUCUCUUUCCAUUUCCACGCAAUUUCCCUUCUCUCUCCCAAAUUGGUGAGGCCAAUUUGGAAAUAUCCUUUAUUGAAAAUCAGCUAAGUGUAAAUGUUAAUCAUAUCCACAGAGACUCUCAUGCAACAUCUAAAUUAGUAUUAGACUACACACCUGGGCGGGUAACCUUAGCCAAGUUGACACAUGAAAUCACCAUCACACCUACGUUGAACACUAAAUUUGUUGUCCAAAUUGAGAUUUUUUUUUGAGAAUAAGGAGUUAUAGAUUAUAAAUAAAUCAAUAUAAUUUUAUACAUAGACUAUUAUAUGAUUUUACUCAUUGACAAUUUUUAAUCAUUGUUGAACCUACAAAAUAGUCCUAUUAAAAAUUGUUCUAAAAAUGUUAAUAUUUAC